rnacentral:tRNA from 1 species
GCCUUUGUGGUGUUGUGGUCAUCACGCUCGACGCGUAACCGAGAGGUCCGUGGUUCGAUUCCCGGCGAAGGCG